rnacentral:lncRNA from 1 species
CAAUUUUUUUGUCAUCUCUCUCUCUCAUUUUUAUACUGAUCAUGAUAAUCUGACAUGGAAUUUAUUUUCUCAUGUUAGAUUAUCUCCAACCAAACGAACCCUAAGGAUUUGUUUGUUUCAUGGGGAGUGAAGGAGAGAAAAUGGCAAUUCAUGAUAAGUGGAGGAGAAUCCUCUUAUUUGAUUGGAGUUUUAUGAGAAGAGAGAAUAUAAAAAACUCUUUCUAUAAAAAAUUACUUCAUACAUUUCAUGGGAAGUAUAAACUU